AACGCGAAGAACCUUACCAGGAUUUGACAUCCAACUAACGAAGCAGAGAUACAUUAGGUACCCUUCGGGGGAAGUUGAGACAGGUGGUGCAUGGUUGUCGUCAGCUCGUGUCGUGAGAUGUUGGGUUAAGUCCCGCAACGAGCGCAACCCCUAUUGUUAGUUGCUACGCAAGAGCACUCUAGCGAGACUGCCGUUGACAGAACGGAGGAAGGUGGGGACGACGUCAAAUCAUCAUGCCCCUUAUGUCCUGGGCUACACACGUAAUACAAUGGCGUCCAACAAAGGGAAGCAAAACCGCGAGGUAGAGCAAAUCCCCAAAAGACGUCUCAGUUCGGAUUGCAGGCUGCAACUCGCCUGUAUGAAGUCGGAAUUGCUAGUAAUCGUGGAUCAGCAUGCCACGAUGAAUACGUUCCCGGGUCUUGUACACACGC
rnacentral:rRNA from 1 species